UACGUAGGGUGCAAGCGUUAAUCGGAAUUACUGGGCGUAAAGCGUGCGCAGGCGGUUCGCUAAGCCCGGUGUGAAAUCCCCGGGCUUAACCUGGGAACUGCAUUUGUGACUGGCGGGCUAGAGUAUGGCAGAGGGGGGUAGAAUUCCACGUGUAGCAGUGAAAUGCGUAGAGAUGUGGAGGAAUACCGAUGGCGAAGGCAGCCCCCUGGGCCAAUACUGACGCUCAUGCACGAAAGCGUGGGGAGCAAACAGG
rnacentral:rRNA from 1 species